rnacentral:rRNA from 1 species
CAGCAGCCGCGGUAAAACGGAGGGCGCGAGCGUUACCCGGAUUUACUGGGCGUAAAGGGCGUGUAGGCGGCCUGGGGCGUCCCAUGUGAAAGGCCACGGCUCAACCGUGGAGGAGCGUGGGAUACGCUCAGGCUAGAGGGUGGGAGAGGGUGGUGGAAUUCCCGGAGUAGCGGUGAAAUGCGCAGAUACCGGGAGGAACGCCGAUGGCGAAGGCAGCCACCUGGUCCACUUCUGACGCUGAGGCGCGAAAGCGUGGGGAGCAAACCGGAUUAGAUACCCCUGUAGUCCCUGUCUCUUAUAC